rnacentral:lncRNA from 1 species
UCCGCUUCUUAAGGUAGUCAAGGCAUUAGCUUGUUCAUGGUGAACAUCAUUCGAGUGAGUCUCUUGAGCCAUGUACUGCCCUCUCGGGUUACUCACUGAUUGGCUUGGAAGCUUGCCUUCCUCUCUCUUAUUUAGUGCACUCGCUAGCUGCCCUAGCUGGAUUUCUAAUUUGGCAAUAGACUGGGUAUGGGAGUGCAACAAU